GGAGGGGUACCCGAGUGGCCAAAGGGGGCUGACUGUAAAUCAGCUGGUUCAUCCUUCGGGGGUUCGAAUCCCUCCCCCUCCACCA
rnacentral:tRNA from 1 species